UAAUAUUUCUGAGACUGCACAGUGCGAGAUAUCCACAUGCAUUAGGUGUCCUGCCCUUGUAGCCACACCAUCAAUUAACUCUUUGAACCAUAAACAAUCUGGUCCUGCGCACAACCGUUAUCUGGGCUCCCAGCCAGACCCGGCCCCACCCAGCCACGCUGCAGCCGAAAAGCAAGACCUUGAGAGCACUUUCUAGUACAAAUUCCUUCCAUGUGACAGCCAGGCAGCAAAAUCUCCUGGUCCUGGAUGUGAAGGUCUUAUCUGCAACGGCAAGCUGUCAAAUUUAAAGCAAGUUUAACUAUCUCAAAGG